UGGGGUUGUUUAGCGUGAGAAAACUCCGCUGAAAACAAGACUUGAAAUUCUUUUUCAAUAUUGAUAUUGUUUUGGGUCCUUUAGAAAUCUUGCAAAAUUGAAAAGAAUAGAAACCUACUGCAUUAGAGACUCAAAUAGUUGUUGAAGUAUAUGUUUGGUAUAAUCAAAGAAGGAACGCUAACAGAAGUGCUUUCAUAUCGAUUAUCGACCCCAGUGCUGUGAGAGACAUGGAUAAGUGGCUGGUCAAUGCUGGAUAGGAUCAGCCGAUCAGGUGUUCCCUAUAGAGACUUUGAGCUGGAGCCAAGUACAUGAAGCUAUAGCUCAUUGAGUUUUAUGCAGGCUACUAAAUGCCCAAAGAAAUCAACGACAAUAUAGCAG
rnacentral:lncRNA from 1 species